CUUCUUCUUCCUCCUCCCCAACCCAAGCAUCAAUCCUAAAAGCCCUUCUUCCCAUUUCCAGAACCCCAUUACUUACCAGGUGCCUGGUCCUCCUCCCUCUCCCUCUCGCUACUUUUCUGCUUCCCAGCAACAGCACCGCUGCUGAUUCUAUUCACUCUUCAUCUGCUGCUGCUGCUGCUGCUGCAGUCACACGCUUCAACCCAAUAAGUGAUGCUGAGAGAGACGCAAGUGAUGCCAUUUCCAGAAUAAUAUCUGAAGCCCUGGACUUGUUGGAGAGAGGGAGAGAGUUUCAGGCCAGUGGUGACUUUGACCAGGCUCUUCUCAGUUUUACACAGGUGAUUGAGAAGUACAAGGAAUUUGCAUUUUCAGACUAUGCAAGAGUAGGCAGACUGACUUUGUAUGAAGUUGGCAACAGAGAUGGAGGAUGUUUCCAUAUCUUUAAAGGGAUAUCCAGAAGUGCAUGCAGCUCUUGCCGCAGCGUUAUAUGUGGACAAACAUGCUCCACUGCUCGCAGAAAACUAGUUCACAAUUACAACUCUGCUUGAUCCUCACUAUACAGACCUCUCAUAUGUAAAAGACACAAAACAUUGGCCUCCGAGUUUGGUUAGUUCCUUGCAACACUUCAUCACACUUUCCUUGACACUUGAAUAGUCAAAUUGAAGUUGAUGUACUCUCUUAGAGACCAAAUAGCGUAAGGGCAUGUUUGGUAUCAAUUGAUUACGCAAAUAUAUAUAUAGAAAGAUAGCCUUUCACUUGUAAUACCAAAGAUGAAUACAUAGAUGAUGUACUGGAAUGCAUACAUGCUGUUUAUACAAAUACUGUGCUUUACUAUGAUAAUUCC